rnacentral:rRNA from 1 species
AUCUCUGUAGAGUCUGCAUAUCAAUAAGCGGAGGAAAAGAAACUAACAAGGAUUCCCCUAGUAACGGCGAGUGAAGCGGGAAGAGCUCAAAUUUGAAAUCUUAAAGGGUUUCCCUUUACGAAUUGUAGUUUAAAGAAGUGUUUUCUGUUGGAGUUUCGGUAAAAGUUCUUUGGAAUAGGACAUCAUAGAGGGUGAGAAUCCCGUAUUUGACCGUUACUUUCCAGCUGUGUGAUACACUUUCAAAGAGUCGGAUUGUUUGGGAAUGCAGUCCAAAAUGGGUGGUAAAUUUCAUCUAAAGCUAAAUAUUGGCGAGAGACCGAUAGCGAACAAGUACCGUGAGGGAAAGAUGAAAAGAACUUUGAAAAGAGAGUUAAACAGUACGUGAAAUUGUCAAAAGGGAAGCGUUUGACACCAGUGUUGUUUAGUUGAAAAUCAAUUAAAUAGUUUUCGAUUUUAAGUAGUAUUGACCUUAUCAGCUUGCUGCUUUCUUCUCGGAAAUUAUUUAAUGCACUUUUCAGUUAACAAGUCAACAUCAAUUUCUUUUGUUGUAAAAAGGUAAGAGGAAGGUGGCUUGCGCUUCGGCUCAAGUGUUUAUAGCCUUUUACUUCUGCAAUCGGAGAGAUUGAGGUCUGCAGCGUAGAUCCUUCGGGGUUAGAUACAUUUGUGCUAAGUUAUAGCUUUGUCAUAGACAACAUGUUGACUAUGAUUAAGUCAUGUAGCUUACUCGCUUAGGCUAUUUUACCUACGCUUAGGAUGUUGAACGCGCACAGAGUCUC